CUUGGAAUCGCUGUGUCUCUCGUUGCCUUCUCCUUCUCCUCCUUUCUCGUUACUUUUUUUUUCUAACUAAAUAGAUUUUCCUGAUAAUUUUUUUCUUAAAGAUAAAACCUUACAAACAACAAAUCCAAAUCCUUUGUCGAUGAAAUCCCUAACCCACUUAUGUUGGAAUCACUUUCUCUCGUCGAUGGAGCCAAAUCCCUAAUCCACUGUCGAUGAAAUCCCUAACCCCACCUAUGAACCACUCUAACCCAUGAUGGAACCACUCUCUCUCUCUCUCGUCAAUAGAGCCAAAUCCCUAACCCUACCGAUUGAACCACUCUCAUUCGUUAAUGGAGCCAAUCUUUCUCUCGUUUAGCUCCGGCAAAGGAUUAUAUUUUUUGGAUCUGCAUUUUGUGUUUCAGAACAAUUCUCCAAAAGGGUUCUCUGCUCAAGUGUGAACCUUAAUACCCCUUCUGACAUCUGAAGAAACAGAGAAGAAAGAGUUCUUACUCGUCGGAGUUAUCAGGAGUCAACGUGUUAUGUGGACGAGGAGCAUGUUGUGGGUUUCAGAGCUUUCGAGCUGCAUAAAAAGAUUGAGCUUUUUUUUUGAAGAGAUUGGAAAACUAUAAUCUGGAACCGGAUUUGUAUUAAGGUGUUCUCAACUCAAUCGAUUAGUAUUUUGUAUAAAAAGAGUGAGCUUUUUUUUUGCAGGUUGAGAAGUUGAGAUCUAUGUCUGAAGCAAAGGGAGGAGUUAAAGUCACUGAUAAGCGCACUUCUGUUCCAGAUGCUAUGAUCAGCGAAAUGCAAGAGCUCUAUGAGGCUAGGCAGAUCAUCCCUAGCUUUCAAAACCAGGUUCUUUCACUGAGUGUCCAGCUCCAAUGCAUUGCUCAAAACCUUGCUACUUUUUUUUUCCGAUGGUGAAGGCCAUACGUGUCAGAAUCUGAAACUUAAGCAUGUCCCCUACGGAAAGAAAGAUGCGAGUGUCCACAUGAGCUUGUGUCCACAUUUGUUCACUCAUAAGAACUCGUGUCCACAUUUGUUCACUCACAUGAACUCGUGUCCACAUUUGUUUCAUCCACAUCCUUUGUGUCCACGUUCUUCAAUCUACAUAUUUUUCUAAAGAAAACUCAGAUGAGUGGUCAAACUAUAUUCACCUACAUUUACGUAUGAUUGUCUCUGAAACAUUUUAUGGUUCAAAUUAGAAACAAGCAAGGAAUUAUAUGA